rnacentral:misc_RNA from 1 species
GUGAGAUCCAAGAGAAAGGAAAAAAAUCUCUCUUCUCUUUCUCUCUCAAAAGUCAGAGAGAGAAACAUCACCAUCACCAACGAGAAGGAGCUGCCCAUUGAUUUAACAGUGAAAAAAUGGGAUGCUCGUUCUCGGGACUCAAUGCUUUGUAUGACAAUGCCAAUGGCGGAGGAGAUGUUUGGAUCAAUGAGAACCGUUUCAGGAUCCUUCGUCAAGCCACUUUUCCCAAUGUCUUCCUUGUCAAGGAGCUCAUUUCUGAUCCAAAUAAAAUCAAGGACCCUUCUCAUGUCUCUGAUGAUGGAACUUAUGCAA